rnacentral:rRNA from 1 species
CCUACGGGAGGCUGCAGUGAGGAAUAUUGGUCAAUGGACGAGAGUCUGAACCAGCCAAGUAGCGUGAAGGAUGACUGCCCUAUGGGUUGUAAACUUCUUUUAUAUGGGAAUAAAAUGUUCCACGUGUGGGAUUUUGUAUGUACCAUAUGAAUAAGGAUCGGCUAACUCCGUGCCAGCAGCCGCGGUAAUACGGAGGAUCCGAGCGUUAUCGGGAUUUAUUGGGUUUAAAGGGAGCGUAGGUGGAUUGGUAAGUCAGUUGUGAAAGUUUGCGGCUCAACCGUAAAAUUGCAGUUGAAACUGGCAGUCUUGAGUACAGUAGAGGUGGGCGGAAUUCGUGGUGUAGCGGUGAAAUGCUUAGAUAUCACGAGGAACUCCGAUUGCGAAGGCAGUUCACUGGACUGCAACUGACACUGAGGCUCGAAGGUGUGGGUAUCAAACAGGAUUAGAUACCCCAGUAGUC